rnacentral:rRNA from 1 species
GUGGGGAAUUUUGGACAAUGGGCGCAAGCCUGAUCCAGCAAUGCCGCGUGCAGGAAGAAGGCCUUCGGGUUGUAAACUGCUUUUGUACGGAACGAAACGGUCCUGGUUAAUACCUGGGGCUAAUGACGGUACCGUAAGAAUAAGCACCGGCUAACUACGUGCCAGCAGCCGCGGUAAUACGUAGGGUGCGAGCGUUAAUCGGAAUUACUGGGCGUAAAGCGUGCGCAGGCGGUGCUGUAAGACAGGCGUGAAAUCCCCGGGCUCAACCUGGGAAUUGCGCUUGGGACUGCAGUGCUGGAGUACGGCAGAGGGGGAUGGAAUUCCGCGUGUAGCAGUGAAAUGCGUAGAUAUGCGGAGGAACACCGAUGGCGAAGGCAGUCCCCUGGGCCUGUACUGACGCUCAUGCACGAAAGCGUGGGGAGCAAACAGGAUUAGAAACCCCAGUAGUCC